rnacentral:rRNA from 1 species
UGAACGCUGGCGGUCUGCUUAACACAUGCAAGUCGAACGCAACCUUCGGGUUGAGUGGCGGACGGGUGAGUAACGCGUGAGAAUCUGCCUUGGGGUCGGGGACAACCACUGGAAACGGUGGCUAAUACCGGAUAAGCCUUUGGGUAAAAAAUUUAUUGCCCCAAGAGGAGCUCGCGUCUGAUUAGCUAGUUGGUGAGGUAAAAGCUCACCAAGGCAGCGAUCAGUAGCUGGUCUGAGAGGACGAUCAGCCACACUGGGACUGAGACACGGCCCAGACUCCUACGGGAGGCAGCAGUGGGGAAUUUUCCGCAAUGGGCGAAAGCCUGACGGAGCAAGACCGCGUGAGGGAGGAAGGCUCUUGGGUUGUAAACCUCUUUUCUCAGGGAAGAAGCUCUGACGGUACCUGAGGAAUCAGCCUCGGCUAACUCCGUGCCAGCAGCCGCGGUAAUACGGAGGAGGCAAGCGUUAUCCGGAAUUAUUGGGCGUAAAGCGUCCGCAGGUGGCGAUUCAAGUCUGCUGUCAAAGCACGGGGCUUAACUCCGUUAAGGCAGUGGAAACUGAAUAGCUAGAGUGCCGUAGGGGUAGAGGGAAUUCCCGGUGUAGCGGUGAAAUGCGUAGAGAUCGGGAAGAACAUCGGUGGCGAAAGCGCUCUACUGGACGGCAACUGACACUCAGGGACGAAAGCUAGGGGAGCGAAUGGGAUUAGAUACCCCAGUAGUCCUAGCUGUAAACGAUGGAUACUAGGUGUAGCUUGUAUCGACCCGAGCUGUGCCGAAGCUAACGCGUUAAGUAUCCCGCCUGGGGAGUACGCACGCAAGUGUGAAACUCANAGGAAUUGACGGGGGCCCGCACAAGCGGUGGAGUAUGUGGUUUACUUCGAUGCAACGCGAA